rnacentral:lncRNA from 1 species
UGGCAUGUUUUGUCGGAAGUAGUAAGGAGAUGAGAGAGGUACGUGUGGUGAUGGUGGUCGUCGGCGGUAGUGGAGCUGUGGUUGUGUGGCUGUUUGUUUUUGUAGAGAGAGAAGUGGUAGAGAGAGAGAGUGCUGAUGUUUGUGUGUGUUAGUGCAUGAGUUUGUGUGUGUGUAUGUUAGUGUGUAUAUUUGUUUUUAUAUAUAUUUUUGUGUGUGUUUUGAAGAGAAAAAUGGAAUAAAUAAAAUAUGCUUGUAUAUUUAUGAAUAUGUGUGUGGGUUUGCAAAGAAAAAAUGUUUAUGAGCUAUAAAAAUAAAUAUAUGUGUAUUUUGAA